rnacentral:lncRNA from 12 species
GAGUCAGAGUGGCUUUGAGUCUUGCACUGGGCGAGCUGGGCUUGUAAAUACUUGGGAACUGCUGCACAUCAUAGCUACUGGGGGUUUAUCUGUGUUAAAGAAACUCUGCUGUCCUGUCUCCAGUUAUUUUAUGCCCUUAAUUUACACUCCAGUGUAUCCAGUGUAACACAUACCCAUCCUCAUCAGGUUUUUUGGGGUAUCUCUUGUGCUUUGCAAAAGCAGGCAAGCCCUCAGGGAACAAAGCAAGAUUUCCACAAGAAAAGACCAUCAGAGCUUUUGUGGAGACUGCUGCUUACUUCAAG